GUGCUUGCUUCGGCAGCACAUGCACUAAAAUUGGAACGACACAGAGAAGAUUAGCAUGGCCCCUGCCCAAGGAUGGCCCCAAGCAAAUUCAUGGAGCGUUCCAUAUCUUU
ensembl:snRNA U6 U6 spliceosomal RNA